rnacentral:rRNA from 1 species
UGCGCAGCUUACACAUGCAGUCGAACGAACUCUUCGGAGUUAGUGGCAGACGGGUGAGUAACGCGUGGGAAUAUACCUUUCGGUACGGAACAACAGUUGGAAACGACUGCUAAUACCGUAUGCGCCCUAUGGGGGAAAGAUUUAUCGCCGAAGGAUUAGCCCGCGUUGGAUUAGCUAGUUGGUGGGGUAAAGGCCUACCAAGGCGACGAUCCAUAGCUGGUCUGAGAGGAUGAUCAGCCACACUGGGACUGAGACACGGCCCAGACUCCUACGGGAGGCAGCAGUGGGGAAUAUUGGACAAUGGGGGCAACCCUGAUCCAGCCAUGCCGCGUGAGUGAUGAAGGCCCUAGGGUUGUAAAGCUCUUUCAGCGAGGAGGAUAAUGACGUUACUCGCAGAAGAAGCCCCGGCUAACUUCGUGCCAGCAGCCGCGGUAAUACGAAGGGGGCUAGCGUUGUUCGGAAUCACUGGGCGUAAAGCGCACGUAGGCGGAUUGGUCAGUUAGGGGUGAAAUCCCAGAGCUCAACUCUGGAACUGCCUUUAAUACUGCCAGUCUUGAGUCCGAGAGAGGUGAGUGGAACUCCGAGUGUAGAGGUGAAAUU